rnacentral:rRNA from 1 species
UACGUAGGGGGCAAGCGUUGUCCGGAAUCAUUGGGCGUAAAGAGCGUGUAGGCGGCCUUCUAAGUCGAACGUGAAAUCCCCGGGCUCAACCCGGGAACUGCGUCCGAUACUGGAAGGCUUGAAUCCGGGAGAGGGAUGCGGAAUUCCAGGUGUAGCGGUGAAAUGCGUAGAUAUCUGGAGGAACACCGGUGGCGAAGGCGGCAUCCUGGACCGGCAUUGACGCUGAGGCGCGAAAGCCAGGGGAGCAAACGGG